rnacentral:rRNA from 1 species
CCUACGGGAGGCAGCAGUGAGGAAUAUUGGUCAAUGGCCGGAAGGCUGAACCAGCCAUGCCGCGUGAAGGUCAGUGCCCUAUGGGCUUUAAACUUCUUUUGUGCGGGAGCAAUAAUGGUCACGUGUUGCCAGACGCGAUUACCGUUCGAAUAAGCAUCGGCAAACUCCGUGCCAGCAGCCGCGGUAAUACGGGGGAUGCAAGCGAUAUCCGGAUUUAUUGGGUUUAAAGGGGGCGUAGGCUGUGAGGUAAUUCAGCGUUGAAAUGCCCCCGCUCAACGUGGUGAAGUGCCAUUGAUACUGCCUUGCUGGAAUGAGGAUGCCGUGGGAGGAAAGUGUGGUGUAGCGGUGGAAUGCAUAGAUA